AAAAGCUGAAGCCAGAUCUUAAUUUGAGAGCAGAAUAGCUGAGGCUUUGAAAAAAAGGGAAAGAAUAGGAAGGCAGUCACUGUGCACCCAAAAAUCUCCUUAGCAGCCUUCAUAAUACAGAGCUCUGUAAGGCACUUUUCACUCUUAGAUUCUGUCACCUGUGUGUCCCUGCCUCUGCCCUUUUGCUCUUGUGCCAGUGCUUGCUCAGGCAGGUUCUGUACCAGAAUUGAAGGGAUGUGUUUCUGAAAGCUGGACUUCAGAAGGAGUCUCCUUUCUGACUCUUCUUUGCUCUGCUCCUUUUUGGAAAGGUCAGAAUCCCUGUGGGAAGGACCUCUGUGUCACUGAGGGCCAGUUCACGGUGUCAUCUUUGAGAGUGACAGAAGUCCCAGGACCUCUCAGUGCCGUUCAAACCUAGCAAUGAGAGGAUGUUGAUUCUAUAACCCUGGCAGAGAAAGGAGAAACACCUGAGACUAAUGAGCACUGGAUGAAAGCUCCUGUGCACUUCAGCUGUGGCUUCCACCAAGUUGCACCUCAUCAUUGUGGAUUUCUCUACACCUCCAGCUUCUCUACCCCAAAGUCUCUAUCAGACAAUGAAAGCAAAGGAAAUGUAUUGGAACUGAAGACAAAAUACUAAUGAAGAAAAUGGAUGUUACCUCUAAAAUGUAGUAAAAUUCAACCAUUGGAAUACUAUGGACAGAGCAAUGCAGAGUCUGCUGAGCACAGCUGAGAAGACACAUUCUGAGAUGAUUCCCAGCAGAAAAGGUUUCCCUGUGUGCACCACAGCCAUGCUGGGCUCUGUCUGUCACUGCUGGGGUGGUUGAACAUUGUGAAGAGAAAAACAGAAAGGAAGAUUGUCAUGAUUGACAAGAGAUUAAAGGAUUAAACAAUAAUAACUUGGAUAAAUGACAAUUAAGGAUGAGAAAACUUUAGGAAAGUAAUUGAAGUUGAGCUCUGCAGAGCAAGUAGAAUUGCUGAGGGUUUGUCAUGGGGCCAUAGAUGGAAACUGAG
rnacentral:lncRNA from 1 species